rnacentral:rRNA from 1 species
CCUACGGGUGACAGCAGUGGGGAAUAUUGCACAAUGGGCGAAAGCCUGAUGCAGCAACGCCGCGUGAGCGAUGAAGGCCUUCUGGUCGUAAAGCUCUGUCCUCAAGGAAGAUAAUGACGGGACUUGUGGAGGAAGCCCCGUCUAACUACGUGCCAGCAGCCGCGGUACUACGUCGGGGGCUAGCGUUAUCCGGAGUUACUGGGCGUAAAGGGUGCGUAGGUGGUUUCUUAAGUCAGAGGUAAAAGGCUACGGCUCAACCGUAGUAAGCCUUUGAAACUGGGGAACUUGAGUUCAGGAGAGGAGAGUGGAAUUCCCAGUGUAGCGGUGAAAUGCGUAGAUAUCAGGAGGAACACCAGUUGCGAAGGCAGCGCUCUGGACUGUAACUGACACUGAGGCACGAAAGCGUGGGGAGCGAACAGGAUUAGAUACCCCUGUAGUC